CAUUGGCCCACAGAAGAAAGGGAUUCCUGGCAGAGAGGAAGUUGAUGAUGGAUGUCCUGACCUCCUCUCUACCCAAAAGAGACAAGGCCCCUGCAGAGAGGAUGAGACCUCAGAUGUAGAUGUUGAAAAUCUUACGUCAACUUCUGUGACUGCUACAUCCAGUGGACGAAAAAGAG